rnacentral:rRNA from 1 species
GAUGAACGCUGGCGGCGUGCCUAAUACAUGCAAGUCGAGCGAACAGACGAGGAGCUUGCUCCUCUGACGUUAGCGGCGGACGGGUGAGUAACACGUGGAUAACCUACCUAUAAGACUGGGAUAACUUCGGGAAACCGGAGCUAAUACCGGAUAAUAUAUUGAACCGCAUGGUUCAAUAGUGAAAGACGGUUUUGCUGUCACUUAUAGAUGGAUUCGCGCCGCAUUAGCUAGUUGGUAAGGUAACGGCUUACCAAGGCAACGAUGCGUAGCCGACCUGAGAGGGUGAUCGGCCACACUGGAACUGAGACACGGUCAAGACUCCUACGGGAGGCAGCAGUAGGGAAUCUUCCGCAAUGGGCGAAAGCCUGACGGAGCAACGCCGCGUGAGUGAUGAAGGUCUUCGGAUCGUAAAACUCUGUUAUUAGGGAAGAACAAAUGUGUAAGUAACUAUGCACGUCUUGACGGUACCUAAUCAGAAAGCCACGGCUAACUACGUG